rnacentral:rRNA from 1 species
UACGUAGGGUGCAAGCGUUGUCCGGAAUUAUUGGGCGUAAAGGGCUCGUAGGCGGUCCAUCACGUCGGGAGUGAAAAGCUGGGGCUUAACCCCAGUCCUGCUUCCGAUACGGGUGGACUAGAGGUAGGCAGGGGAGAACGGAAUUCCUGGUGUAGCGGUGAAAUGCGCAGAUAUCAGGAGGAACACCAAUUGCGAAGGCAGCUCGCUGGGACGUUACUGACGCUGAGACGCGAAAGCGUGGGGAGCAAACAGG